AGGGUUCGAUUCUGGCUCAGGAUGAACGCUGGCGGCGUGCCUAACACAUGCAAGUCGAGCGAAGCGAUUUAGCGGAAGUUUUCGGAUGGAAGUUAAAUUGACUGAGCGGCGGACGGGUGAGUAACGCGUGGGUAACCUGCCUCAUACAGGGGGAUAACAGUUAGAAAUGACUGCUAAUACCGCAUAAGCGCACAGCAUCGCAUGAUGCAGUGUGAAAAACUCCGGUGGUAUGAGAUGGACCCGCGUCUGAUUAGCUAGUUGGUGAGGUAACGGCUCACCAAGGCGACGAUCAGUAGCCGACCUGAGAGGGUGAUCGGCCACAUUGGGACUGAGACACGGCCCAA
rnacentral:rRNA from 1 species